GCCAGCCUCAAGACGCCGACGAAGACGACACAAGCGAAGAAAACGCAGAACCCGUUGGCGUUAGCGUCCCUAGAGCUGUUGCGGACGACACGCAUGUAGAGGAAAAUCCUGAAUGGGAGAUGGGCAUCAGGCGCUCUUCAACCGCAAAGGGUAAUCGGAUAGAAGACCUGUCUCUGUCUGACAUCAUCUUGGACCCGGAUGGAGAUAUCACGUACUACUGGCUGAGCCUUGUCACUCUAGUGAUCUUCUACAACAUGGCGGUAAUUAUUCUCCGACUGGCCUUCGAGGAAAUGCGAG